GAUGAACGCUAGCGGCAGGCCUAACACAUGCAAGUCGAGGGGUAGCAGGAUUAAGCUUGCUUAAUUGCUGACGACCGGCGCACGGGUGCGUAACGCGUAUGCAACCUACCUUAUACUGGGGUAUAGCCCGGAGAAAUUCGGAUUAAUCCCCCAUAGUACUAAUGAAUCGCAUGGUUUAUUAGUUAAAGCAUUGCGGUAUAAGAUGGGCAUGCGUCCUAUUAGCUAGAUGGUGAGGUAACGGCUCACCAUGGCUACGAUAGGUAGGGGGCCUGAGAGGGUGGUCCCCCACACUGGUACCGAGACACGGACCAGACUACUACGGGAGGCAGCAGUGAGGAAUAUUGGUCAAUGGGCGCAAGCCUGAACCAGCCAUGCCGCGUGCAGGAAGAAUGCCCUAUGGGUUGUAAACUGCUUUUAUUUGGGAAUAAACCUCUUUACGUGUAGAGAGCUGAAGGUACCAAAUGAAUAAGCACCGGCUAGCUCCGUGCCAGCAGCCGCAGUAA
rnacentral:rRNA from 1 species